rnacentral:rRNA from 1 species
GUCUACGGCCAUGCCCCCCUGAACAUGCCCAAUCUCAUCUGAUCUCGGAAGCUAAGCAGUUCGGGCCUGGUUAGUACUUGGAUGAGAGAAAUUCAAAAGUGAGAAUGUUCCAAAGACA